GGGAGCAGCCGGCUGGGCUGGAGCCAGCAUUGCUGCUGCUGGGAGCACAGAGCUGGAGGUGUUGGGAGAUCAUUCCCUGUGCUCCCA